AGCGAGGAGGGGCGGGGGAGCGCGCGGCGGACAGCGAGCCGCGGGGCAUCCUGGGGCGGGCGGAAGGAUACGGGCGCUGCGCGGCACCUGGCGAGGGGAGGCGCCGUCGUCGGCCGGAACGGAGGGACUGGAGGCACGCUGCCCCACGCCGCCCCACGCCCUCCGCCGCAGCCUCACCCGUGAAACCAGCUGACGGGGAGCAGUGGCGGGAGCCCCGGGCGGCCUCCUGGGAAAGCUGCUCGGGCGCCUUCCCGGCAGGCUGUCGGAAGAGAGGGCAGCUCUGGAAAGGAAAACUGCACGUAGCAGUUAAUAACGGGCGAGGUGGGCUCCAGGGUCCCAGCGUGACUUGUAGGGCUUUCUGCCCGUCUGCCAGGCCGGGGAACGAUCGUUUUCAUUCGGCUGAAGCGAGCUCGGUAGUGUCGGUGCAAGUCAAUGUCAUCAAUGGGCAGUGAAAGAAAAGGGAGGUAAACUGCAGUUGCUCCCAAAGAAACUAAACUUCAGUUUUUGCAUUUGGGAAAAAUAAAGAGUAAAGCAUACUGUUUGCACUUAAUUGCAGUCUAGCACUGAGCUGCUACUUUAAAGUUUAACUUAUCUUUCUUACUUAUUAGCAUGAUUUCUCAAGCAAUGUUAUUAGGACAAAUAAAUGCAUUCCCCUCUUGCCAGCCGAGUCAUAAAGCUGCUGUGGGGUAAAUUAGCCUGUCAGCAGGGUUGCAGAGGUGUAAUUGGUUGUCACUCACUGCGUUGCUGUUGAAGAUGCUCCAGAAAUAGGCUGUCAUGAUUUACUGGUAGCAGAAAGAAUAUUUCCUACAGAAGAGAUGCCAAUGUACGUGUCCCCACAUCUGUACCUGUCCCCACACAGAUUGUCAGUAAGAGCUUGAAACAUUUUGAAGACCAAGCUGUGCUACAAGUGAUCUGACAUGGUUACCCCAAGAAGGGGUAAGGAUCAUGUAAUUAGUGACCACAAGGACAGACAGCCUGAAUUACUUUGAACUCUUAUUUUUGAACUGAAAAAGAUACGUUGUGAUUACCGUUCUGGGUUUCCUGCUCCUGCCUCUGGCUUCCCCUGAAAAUACCUUGCAGGUAUUUGUUUUAAGCUUUCAAGAUACCAAUUAACAGAUGAAGCCACCACAGCAUAUGGUAGCAUGGAUGAGGCGCUGAAAUACAAGAGUAGUCCUUAAUAUGAACAUUGAUGUAGCAAAUUGACUUGGUUUCCUCAUGCACAAAUGUAACCAUCACAAUAGUAAAAAUGCUUAUAAGCCAAGUAGGACAAGAAAUUGAAACUUUUUCUGUAUAAAAGGGAUGCCAAGUUGUACUUAAGGCUGUUUCCGGUCUGUGUAUUUCUAUUCUCUAUAUAAAUUGCCUAAUGUUUUCUGUAUAUCAGUGCCAGUUUAAACACAAGAUCUCCCAAUAGCUGCCUGGAAUUUGGCUAUUCUUUAUUAUGUUCAGAAACCCAGCCUCCCUUGUGUCUUUUUGAUAGUACAAAUAAAGGUCUAGCUCAGAUACACUGUAAGUUGCGGGACCUUAAACCUUCCACCGGUGUCUGUUGUUUGUGUUCAUGAGCAUGUAGAAAAUAUUCCUGCUGCCUUUUUUUUUUAUUUUACCCCUUGUCAGCACUUAGUUAUUUAAAAUUUAUCUUUACAAGUGUAGAUUACAUUUGUGGGAAACAUGCUAGCUGAGCAAGAGUCAGCCAGCCAGAGACAUCUACAGAAGUUGAUUAAAAGAGGAAGAGUGUCCCACCAAGGCCGUCGUUUGGCGUUCGAGUGAUCCCCACGCUCCCACACCACUGCCGCCCUCGUGCCGGCGACGCUUUCACGCCCGGGCCCACUCAGGAUAUUCAUGGAAACGUCUGUCACGCCCUCGCGUGGGGAGGGACGGCGCGGCGGCCGCGAGGGGGCGCUGCGCAGCCCGAGCGCGUGUCUGCGCACGUUGCCCCGGGACGGCCCCUCCCCCGCCCCCCGCUCCUCACGGCUGCACCGCCCCGGGCGGGAAACCUGCCGGGAAGGCUAUUUACUGGUAUAAAGGACUCGUAACGUAACAGCCUGCGGGUCAGCAAAGAAGCUUCCUGAAGACUCGGCUGCAGGCUUAAUGCUUGCUUUGUAUCCCCGAUAAGAUGUUUUUAAGGAUCUUACUGGAAUUAUCACAUAUAUUUCUUCCAUAUUUAAAGGAAAAGUAAUUAGAAAUUCUUCAGAAAGCUCUUCAAAGGGCCAGUUCCAUAAAAUAUGAAGAUGGAUCACUUCUGCUUCACACUUACGUCCGGAUCAUGGGAACACGUUGGCAUUUGCUUAUUUCACUGCUGUGAGUGUUCCUGCACAGCUGCUGUGUUCAACAGAACACUGAUGAGGACGGGAAUAAUGUUGUACCUCCACGAGUGACCAGAGGAACACAGUAGUUUCUUCUGGCUUUACAGUACGGAAUGAUGCAAGGCAACAUCAGUGGCGAUGGAGAGGAGCCACAUCUCCUUCCCUGAGGAAUCCCCUGUGUUUUUUUUUUCUGGCGGCCCAACAUUGCAGCCUGGUCCGUCACUCGUGUCGAGUUGCAAAACAGAUCUGCUGAGAGCAAAGGUGCAGCGCGUCAGCUCUUCAGGGUGAGCUGGCCUGAAGUCCCUGGGCCUGCUUCACAUUCCAACUCUUUCUGUCUGUUAGUGGAUUAAAGGUGAAGCGUGCGGAGGGAAGGGGCUGAAGCCUCGCUUUAUGUUCUAUUCAGUAUUUAUGGUGACACUUGCAAAGUUUUAAAUGCAAGGGAAUCCUGUCUAUAAGGCUUACUUCAGUUGUAUUGUCGGUUUUGGACUUUGCACACCUGCUAAUGUUUAGUGUUACUCUGAGCUGAUCUUACAUUAUUGAUUUUGUAUUUGCAUUGAUGGCCUUACGUUGUAAUCAGUCAAAUAUUACAUUAAGAAGGACGUAUUGUUAUACAAUACAGUUGAUAAACUACGUUACUUGGUGCUGCCCUUAUACAUGAGUAAUAACUCCUUCCCUACUGAAUUUUUAAAAGAUGCAGAGACUACUUUCAGUCUGAUAGUGUUGCUCAGGAACUCUACAAUAUUUCUCUAAAAGUCACUCUAUUGCUUAGAAUCAUAUAUUCCUGAGCUUUGCUUGUAUGGUAGAGCUACUAAUUACUUACCGAUGAGUCUUUUGAAAAGACACCAAACAUGUUUUUCCCAUCCAGAUUUAAUCUGAGGUCUGUCUUAGGUGUUAUCACCUGCCCUGGGUGCACAGCAUCAUUAAAAAAAAGCUGUGGGCAUGCCUGUUGCCUAUUAAUGCAUCCUUAGGAGACUGGUCCACCAAAGGAUCUAACUGCCUGCAGGAUCCUCCAGAGAUUUCUUUUCCUUAAGGCAUCUGAGGGGAUUCUUCUCUUGCUAAAAGCUGGAAACCCUGAAGUAAUUGCAGAAACCUUAUCACAAACAGUUCCCUCCUUUGGUCUCAUCCUUCAGUCAGACUGAACUCUCUGAAAGGAUAACCCUGCUUUGAGUGAUGAAGUUACUCUGACCAGUGUGGUUUAACAGAGUUAUUGGUGAAAUCUAGGCUAAUGGUUUUGCUUUCCAUAGUUGAAGUGUGGGGAUUUUUUUUUCCUAUAUAGU